rnacentral:rRNA from 1 species
UAAUACGAGUGGCCCAAGCGUUAUCCGGAAUUAUUGGGCGUAAAGGAUAUGUAGGUGGUUUUAUUAGUCGGGUGUCUAACCUCUGAGCUCAACUUGGAGACAGCAUUCGAAACGGUAAGACUAGAGUAUGUCAGGGGUAAGCGGAACUCAUAGUGUAGGGGUGAAAUCCGUUGAUAUUAUGGGGAACACCAAAAGCGAAGGCAGCUUACUGGGACAUUACUGACACUGAAAUAUGAAAGCGUGGGUAGCGAAUGGG